rnacentral:tRNA from 1 species
GGGGGCAUCGUUCAGUGGUAGGACUUCGGUCUCCAAAACCGAAAACCUGGGUUCGAUUCCUAGUGCCCCCGCAA